rnacentral:tRNA from 1 species
UGCCUAUUAGCUCAGUUGGUUAGAGCAUGUUGCUGAUAACACCAAGGUCGCGGGUUCGAUCCCUGCUUGGUCUG